rnacentral:rRNA from 1 species
GCUAACUGAAAUCAUAAAUUGAUUCAUAGUCAAUGUGAUACAGUAAGGGAAAAUAAUGAUAUUACUUUACUUAAAGUGUUGUCAAAUUCUGGUGCCAGAAGACUCGGUAACGCCAGUAACGCGAACGUUAGUCCUCAUUAUCAGGCGUAAAGGGUUUGUAGGCAGCUCUUGAAAAAAAUUUAAUUUUAAUGUUUUAUGUGUUUUAGCAAAAAUCUUAAGUUUCUAAAGAGCUAGAAUCAAAUAGAAGUUAAAAAGUAUAAUGCUUAGAGAAGGGAUAAUAUCUGUAGAACCUAAGUGGAAUACUAAAGGUGUAAACAACUAACUAUAAAGGAUUGACGCUGAGAGACGAAGGGGAGGAUAGGGAUUAGGAUUAGAUACCCAGGUACCCCUCUCUGUAAACGAUGAAUGGUAGUUAUUAGUGUAAUGCUGGUGACGAUGCUAACGCGAUAACCAUUCCGCCUUGGGAGUACGACUGCAAAGUUGAAAACAAAAAAAUUAGUCGGUCUCGGAGCAAACGAAGUGAAGCAUGU